GCAUGGUAAGGAUUUAUGGCAGGCCAUUCUCCUUGAGUCUUUUACAGUAUACCCAGGCCAAAGUAAGCUGUAGCCUCAAACCAUUGCCCAGCCCUCUUACCUGUAGGCUGUAAGUUCUGAGGGUUUGCACAAUG
ensembl:snoRNA